rnacentral:rRNA from 1 species
AUUGAACGCUGGCGGCAGGCUUAACACAUGCAAGUCGAACGAGCGGCGGACGGGUGAGUAAUGUCUGGGAAACUGCCUGAUGGAGGGGGAUAACUACUGGAAACGGUAGCUAAUACCGCAUACCAUCGGAUGUGCCCAGAUGGGAUUAGCUAGUAGGUGGGGUAAAGGCUCACCUAGGCGACGAUCCCUAGCUGGUCUGAGAGGAUGACCAGCCACACUGGAACUGAGACACGGUCCAGACUCCUACGGGAGGCAGAAGUGGGGAAUAUGGCACAAUGGGCGCAAGCCUGAUGCAGCCAUGCCGCGUGUAUGAAGAAGGCCUUCGGGUUGUAAAGUACUUUCAGCGGGGAGGCGUUACCCGCAGAAGAAGCACCGGCUAACUCCGUGCCAGCCGCCGCGGUAAUUC